UACGAAGGGGGCUAGCGUUGCUCGGAAUCACUGGGCGUAAAGGGCGCGUAGGCGGGUCUUUAAGUCAGGGGUGAAAUCCUGGAGCUCAACUCCAGAACUGCCUUUGAUACUGAGGAUCUUGAGUUCGGGAGAGGUGAGUGGAACUGCGAGUGUAGAGGUGAAAUGCGUAGAUAUUAGGAGGAACACCUGUGGCGAAGGCGGCUCACUGGACCACAACUGACGCUGAGGCGCGAAAGCGAGGGGAGCAAACAGG
rnacentral:rRNA from 1 species